rnacentral:rRNA from 1 species
AAUCUUCCGCAAUGGACGAAAGUCUGACGGAGCGAUGCCGCGUGAGUGAUGAAGGUCUUCGGAUCGUAAAACUCUGUUGUUAGGGAAGAACAAGUAUCGGAGUAAUAUGCCGGUACCUUGACGGUAUCUAACCAGAAAGCCCCGGCUAACUACGUGCCAGCAGCCGCGGUAAUACGUAGGGGGCAAGGGUUGUCCGGAAUUAUUGGGCGUAAAGGGCACGCAGGCGGUUAUUUAAGUCUGAUGUGAAAUCUUACAGCUUAACUGUAAGCGGUCAUUGGAAACUGGGAGACUUGAGUACAGAGGAGGAGAGUGGAAUUCCACGUGUAGCGGUGAAAUGCGUAGAGAUGUGGAGGAACACCAGUGGCGAAGGCGGCUCUCUGGUCUGUAACUGACGCUGAGGUGCGAAAGCGUGGGUAGCGAAC